GGCGAGGUGGCUCAGUGGUUAGAGCGUCAAUUUAGUGACCGGACGAUCCACGGUUCGAAUCCGACCUCUGCCU
rnacentral:tRNA from 1 species